AGACCCGAAACCCGGUGAUCUAGCCAUGGGCAGGUUGAAGGUUGGGUAACACUAACUGGAGGACCGAACCGACUAAUGUUGAAAAAUUAGCGGAUGACCUGUGGCUGGGGGUGAAAGGCCAAUCAAACCGGGAGAUAGCUGGUUCUCCCCGAAAGCUAUUUAGGUAGCGCCUCGUGAAUUCAUCUCCGGGGGUAGAGCACUGUUUCGGCCAGGGGGCCAUCCCGGCUUACCAAUCCGAUGCAAACUGCGAAUACCGGAGAAUGUUAUCACGGGAGACACACGGCGGGUGCUAACGUCCGUCGUGAAGAGGGAAACAACCCAGACCGCCAGCUAAGGUCCCAAAGUCAUGGUUAAGUGGGAAACGAUGUGGGAAGGCCCAGACAGCCAGGAUGUUGGCUUAGAAGCAGCCAUCAUUUAAAGAAAGCGUAAUAGCUCACUGGUCGAGUCGGCCUGCGCGGAAGAUGUAACGGGGCUAAACCAUGCACCGAAGCUGCGGCAGCGAACGUAUCACCCAAGACAACUUUGCACAGUUGACGACUGACGGAGCGAAGCGACGUCAAAGCGUUUUACAACGUCGAGUUGGCUUAGGGAUACGUUCGUUGGGUAGGGGAGCGUUCUGUAAGCCGUUGAAGGUGUGUCGUGAGGCAUGCUGGAGGUAUCAGAAGUGCGAAUGCUGACAUAAGUAACGAUAAAGCGGGUGAAAAGCCCGCUCGCCGGAAGACCAAGGGUUCCUGUCCAACGUUAAUCGGGGCAGGGUGAGUCGACCCCUAAGGCGAGGCCGAAAGGCGUAGUCGAUGGGAAACGGGUUAAUAUUCCCGUACUUGGUGUUACUGCGAAGGGGGGACGGAGAAGGCUAUGUUGGCCGGGCGACGGUUGUCCCGGUUUAAGCGUGUAGGUGUGUGUUCCAGGUAAAUCCGGUUCACUUUAACACUGAGGCGUGAUGACGAGGCACUACGGUGCUGAAGCAACAAAUGCCCUGCUUCCAGGAAAAGCCUCUAAGCCUCAGGUAACAUCAAAUCGUACCCCAAACCGACACAGGUGGUCAGGUAGAGAAUACCAAGGCGCUUGAGAGAACUCGGGUGAAGGAACUAGGCAAAAUGGUGCCGUAACUUCGGGAGAAGGCACGCUGACACGUAGGUGAAGUGGUUUACCCAUGGAGCUGAAGUCAGUCGAAGAUACCAGCUGGCUGCAACUGUUUAUUAAAAACACAGCACUGUGCAAACACGAAAGUGGACGUAUACGGUGUGACGCCUGCCCGGUGCCGGAAGGUUAAUUGAUGGGGUCAGCGCAAGCGAAGCUCCUGAUCGAAGCCCCGGUAAACGGCGGCCGUAACUAUAACGGUCCUAAGGUAGCGAAAUUCCUUGUCGGGUAAGUUCCGACCUGCACGAAUGGCGUAAUGAUGGCCAGGCUGUCUCCACCCGGGACUCAGUGAAAUUGAACUCGCUGUGAAGAUGCAGUGUACCCGCGGCAAGACGGAAAGACCCCGUGAACCUUUACUAUAGCUUGACACUGAACACUGGUCCUUGAUGUGCAGGAUAGGUGGGAGGCUUUGAAGUGUGGACGCCAGUCUGCAUGGAGCCAUCCUUGAAAUACCACCCUUUAAUGGCUGGUGUUCUAACGUGGGCCCGUGAACCGGGUUGCGGACAGUGUCUGGUGGGUAGUUUGACUGGGGCGGUCUCCUCCUAAAGAGUAACGGAGGAGCACGAAGGUUGGCUAAUCCUGGUCGGACAUCAGGAGGUUAGUGCAAUGGCAUAAGCCAGCUUGACUGCGAGCGUGACGGCGCGAGCAGGUGCGAAAGCAGGUCAUAGUGAUCCGGUGGUUCUGAAUGGAAGGGCCAUCGCUCAACGGAUAAAAGGUACUCCGGGGAUAACAGGCUGAUACCGCCCAAGAGUUCAUAUCGACGGCGGUGUUUGGCACCUCGAUGUCGGCUCAUCACAUCCUGGGGCUGAAGUAGGUCCCAAGGGUAUGGCUGUUCGCCAUUUAAAGUGGUACGCGAGCUGGGUUUAGAACGUCGUGAGACAGUUCGGUCCCUAUCUGCCGUGGGCGCUGGAAGAUUGAGGGGGGCUGCUCCUAGUACGAGAGGACCGGAGUGGACGCAUCACUGGUGUUCGGGUUGUCAUGCCAAUGGCACUGCCCGGUAGCUACAUGCGGAAGAGAUAAGUGCUGAAAGCAUCUAAGCACGAAACUUGCCCCGAGAUGAAUCUUCCCUGAGCCUUUAAGGCUCCUGAAGGAACGUUGAAGACGACGACGUUGAUAGGCCGGGUGUGUAAGCGCAGCGAUGCGUUGAGCUAACCGGUACUAAUGAACCGUGAGGCUUAACCUUACAAC
rnacentral:rRNA from 1 species